UAUAGCCAAGUGGUAAGGCAUCGGUUUUUGGUACCGGCAUGCAAAGGUUCGAAUCCUUUUA
rnacentral:tRNA from 1 species